rnacentral:rRNA from 1 species
UACGUAGGGUGCAAGCGUUGUCCGGAAUUAUUGGGCGUAAAGAGCUCGUAGGCGGUCUGUUGCGUCGGCUGUGAAAACCCGGGGCUCAACCCCGGGCCUGCAGCCGAUACGGGCAGACUAGAGUUCGGCAGGGGAGACUGGAAUUCCUGGUGUAGCGGUGAAAUGCGUAGAUAUCGGGAGGAACACCAGUGGCGAAGGCGACUUCCUGGCCUGUUCUUGACGCUGAGGCGCGAAAGCUGGGGGAGCAAACGGG